GAUGAACGCUGGCGGCGUGCUUAACACAUGCAAGUCGAACGAUGAAGCCCAGCUUGCUGGGUGGAUUAGUGGCGAACGGGUGAGUAACACGUGAGUAACCUGCCCUUAACUCUGGGAUAAGCCUGGGAAACUGGGUCUAAUACCGGAUAGGAGCGUCCACCGCAUGGUGGGUGUUGGAAAGAUUUAUCGGUUUUGGAUGGACUCGCGGCCUAUCAGCUUGUUGGUGAGGUAAUGGCUCACCAAGGCGACGACGGGUAGCCGGCCUGAGAGGGUGACCGGCCACACUGGGACUGAGACACGGCCCAGACUCCUACGGGAGGCAGCAGUGGGGAAUAUUGCACAAUGGGCGCAAGCCUGAUGCAGCGACGCCGCGUGAGGGAUGACGGCCUUCGGGUUGUAAACCUCUUUCAGUAGGGAAGAAGCGAAAAUGACGGUACCUGCAGAAGAAGCACCGGCUAACUACGUG
rnacentral:rRNA from 1 species